UGGGGAAUAUUGGACAAUGGAGGAAACUCUGAUCCAGCAAUUCUGUGUGUGUGAAGAAGGUUUUAGGACUGUAAAACACUUUUAGUAGGGAAGAAAAAAAUGACGGUACCUACAGAAGAAGCAACGGCUAAAUACGUGCCAGCAGCCGCGGUAAUACGUAUGUUGCGAGCGUUAUCCGGAAUUAUUGGGCUUAAAGGGCAUCUAGGCGGUAAGACAAGUUGAAGGUGAAAACCUGUGGCUCAACCAUAGGCUUGCCUACAAAACUGUUGAACUAUAGUACUGGAAAGGUGGGUGGAACUACACGAGUAGAGGUGAAAUUCGUAGAUAUGUGUAGGAAUGCCGAUGAUGAAGAUAACUCACUGGACAGAAACUGACGCUGAAGUGCGAAAGCUAGGGGAGCAAACAGG
rnacentral:rRNA from 1 species